rnacentral:rRNA from 1 species
GAUUUCUGGCCUGAAACAUUUUGCCGGCCACGGUUUCGUGUGUUAGUGCUUUGUGUUCUGGCCAUCCUUCCAAUCGCUAUUCAGCUUUCUUCAUUGAUUGUUGAGUGGUAUUGGAUCUUUUACUUUGAAAAAAUUAGAGUGUUUAAAGCAGGCUUACGCUAUGAAUACAUUAGCAUGGAAUAAUAAUUUAGGACUUUUGUCCUUUUGUUGGUUUUCCAGGAUGAAAGUAAUGAUUGAUAGGGAUAGUUGGGGGUGCUAGUAUUUCGUCAACAGAGGUGAAAUUCUUGGACCGACGAAAGACUAACUUAUGCGAAAGCAUU